AUUGAACGCUGGCGGCAGGCCUAACACACGCAAGUCGAGCGGAUGAAGGGAGCUUGCUCCUGGAUUCAGCGGCGGACGGGUGAGUAAUGCCUAGGAAUCUGCCUGGUAGUGGGGGAUAACGUCCGGAAACGGGCGCUAAUACCGCAUACGUCCUGAGGGAGAAAGUGGGGGAUCUUCGGACCUCACGCUAUCAGAUGAGCCUAGGUCGGAUUAGCUAGUUGGUGGGGUAAAGGCCUACCAAGGCGACGAUCCGUAACUGGUCUGAGAGGAUGAUCAGUCACACUAGAACUGAGACACGGUCCAGACUCCUACGGGAGGCAGCAGUGGGGAAUAUUGGACAAUGGGCGAAAGCCUGAUCCAGCCAUGCCGCGUGUGUGAAGAAGGUCUUCGGAUUGUAAAGCACUUUAAGUUGGGAGGAAGGGCAGUAAGUUAAUACCUUGCUGUUUUGACGUUACCAACAGAAUAAGCACCGGCUAACUUCGUG
rnacentral:rRNA from 1 species